ACCUUCGGGCCUCUUGCCAUCGGAUGUGCCCAGAUGGGAUUAGCUAGUAGGUGGGGUAACGGCUCACCUAGGCGACGAUCCCUAGCUGGUCUGAGAGGAUGACCAGCCACACUGGAACUGAGACACGGUCCAGACUCCUACGGGAGGCAGCAGUGGGGAAUAUUGCACAAUGGGCGCAAGCCUGAUGCAGCCAUGCCGCGUGUAUGAAGAAGGCCUUCGGGUUGUAAAGUACUUUCAGCGGGGAGGAAGGGAGUAAAGUUAAUACCUUUGCUCAUUGACGUUACCCGCAGAAGAAGCACCGGCUAACUCCGUGCCAGCAGCCGCGGUAAUACGGAGGGUGCAAGCGUUAAUCGGAAUUACUGGGCGUAAAGCGCACGCAGGCGGUUUGUUAAGUCAGAUGUGAAAUCCCCGGGCUCAACCUGG
rnacentral:rRNA from 1 species